UACGGAGGGUGCAAGCGUUGUUCGGAAUCACUGGGCGUAAAGCGCGUGUAGGCGGUCUCCUCAGUCUGAUGUGAAAGCCCGGGGCUCACCCCCGGAAGUGCAUCGGAUACUGGGAGACUCGAGUACCGGAGAGGAAGGUGGAAUUCCUGGUGUAGCGGUGAAAUGCGUAGAUAUCAGGAGGAACACCGGUGGCGAAGGCGGCCUUCUGGACCGAUACUGACGCUCAAGCGCGAAGGCUUGGGGAGCAAACAGG
rnacentral:rRNA from 1 species